GAAAACCGAGUGUCUUUUAUCAGACAAUUAAAACCAUGUAAAGAUACAUGACGUAUUGAGAUUAGGAUUCUUCACUUGUGGAGAAACUACAACAAAGAUUCCGGAAACACCAUCAAAAUGGUUUUCGUUGAUAAAGAAGUAAGUAGAUUACUACAUUUCUUACAACUCAUAAUCGUCUUUAGUCUUUUGUUCUCAAUCCAACUCAUAUAAUUUUAUCUCAUCUUCGUGUAGGGGACAAGAAUUCAUGCUUCA
rnacentral:lncRNA from 1 species